AGGACGAACGCUGGCGGCGUGCUUAACACAUGCAAGUCGAGCGGAAAGGCCCUUCGGGGUACUCGAGCGGCGAACGGGUGAGUAACACGUGAGUAACCUGCCCUAGCUCUGGGAUAGCUCCGGGAAACCGGGAUUAAUACCAGAUACGACCACUUUAGACAUCUGUCGUGGUGGAAAGGAUUCCGGCUAGGGAUGGGCUCGCGGCCUAUCAGCUUGUUGGUGGGGUAACGGCCUACCAAGGCGACGACGGGUA
rnacentral:rRNA from 1 species